AACGCACAUUGCGCCCUAUGGUAUUCCGUAGGGCAUGCCUGUUCGAGCGUCAUUACAACCCUCAAGCUUUGCUUGGUAUUGGGCGUCGUCCCCCAAACGGACGUGCCUCAAAGACCUCGGCGGUGGCCUCUUUGCCUCAAGCGUAGUAAAACAACUCUCGCUUUGGAGUCGAAGGAGUCGCCCGCCGGACGAACCUUCUGAACUUUUUUCUCAAGGUUGACCUCGGAUCAGGUAGGGAUACCCGCUGAACUUAA
rnacentral:misc_RNA from 1 species